rnacentral:rRNA from 1 species
AGUGAACGCUGGCGGUAGGCCUAACACAUGCAAGUCGAACGGUAGCACAGUAAGAGCUUGCUCUUACGGGUGGCGAGUGGCGGACGGGUGAGGAAUACAUCGGAAUCUACUUUUUCGUGGGGGAUAACGUAGGGAAACUUACGCUAAUACCGCAUACGACCUACGGGUGAAAGCAGGGGAUCUUCGGACCUUGCGCGAUUGAAUGAGCCGAUGUCGGAUUAGCUAGUUGGCGGGGUAAAGGCCCACCAAGGCGACGAUCCGUAGCUGGUCUGAGAGGAUGAUCAGCCACACUGGAACUGAGACACGGUCCAGACUCCUACGGGAGGCAGCAGUGGGGAAUAUUGGACAAUGGGCGCAAGCCUGAUCCAGCCAUACCGCGUGGAUGAAGAAGGCCUUCGGGUUGUAAAGCCCUUUUGUUGGGAAAGAAAAGCAGCAGGUUAAUACCCCGCUGUUCUGACGUUACCCAAAGAAUAAGCACCGGCUAACUUCGUG